UCUAUCUCAAGCGUCACACAUGUUCCUACAAGCAAUGCCUGGAUGCAAAGCUUCACUAUGAAUUUUCCUCUCUGAUGCCAGAUCACACCAGGAUUUUCCCUGCCUCUUCUUCUUUCAGGAGCAAUGGCUAUUUAUUAUUCCUCAUGCCCACUCCACAUGAUAGAAAACUAUGCAGAAAACAGGAAAAGGUGAAAGCAAGGCUAUUUAAAGCUGCAAAUGAAGAAUGCAAGGCUUAGGAAACCUCAGCUUUGUGACUGCCUGCACAACCCUCCUUCAUCCCUCCUUCUUGCCUGUGUACUGUGGCAGAGCUGUUAAUCACAUAAUCACAGGCUAUUUUUCUACAGGACCUUGGCCUCACCCAGUACAGCAGGAUACACGGAGCUCACCUAGCAAGCAGUCACUAUUUCAUCUUCUCUGCACUGUUCAAGGUGUGGCCCCAAGCGUUGUUUACCAGGGAGACUCACAAAAUCCUGAAGAAAAGGUCCACCUGAAAAUUCCAGGCAGUGAUUUAUCUGUGUUGACACCAGGAAAGACAGACAGAC